rnacentral:rRNA from 1 species
UACGUAGGGGGCAAGCGUUGUCCGGAAUCAUUGGGCGUAAAGCGCGCGUAGGCGGCCCGGUAAGUCCGUUGUGAAAGUCAAAGGCUCAACCUUUGAACGCCGAUGGAUACUGCCGGGCUAGAGUCCGGAAGAGGCGAGUGGAAUUCCUGGUGUAGCGGUGAAAUGCGCAGAUAUCGGGAGGAACACCAGUAGCGAAGGCGGCACUCUGGGCCGGUACUGACGCUGAGGAGCGAAAGCGUGGGGAGCGAACAGG